rnacentral:lncRNA from 1 species
CCUCACACCCGUGUUCACAGCUUCCAGCCACAGAAGACCUUCAAGGUGGAAGAUAAAAACCAGAACAAACAGGGAAUGAACAACUCAGCAGAAAAAGAAACAGCCCAUCAGGAGGAUGUGUCAUGGCACCCUCAGCCACAAUGACACCCAGUAGAACCAUUCUACCCUGGGAAGGUGGAACUAUUGAAGAGCUGGGGUUCCCUCCAGGUCUCCUGAUGGAGAUGGAAAAAGGGCCUUCCUUUGGCUUCCCAAAUACUAUGUUGGUGCCCUUCCUUAGAAGUCUUCCCCUUAAUUAAGUUGACCCGAAGGUCACAAACCAUAAUCAAUAUGGAGGCCGGGUACUGCAAGGUGCUAAUUGACAUCCCCAAGGAGGAAUAGUGUCACCAAUCAAUAGGGAAGAGGUGAGCAUUGGUAGAUUUAUGGCUUUGAUUUUGAAAAGGUAGGGGAAUGCCCAGUGAUGGUCCCCCACCCUGUACUCCUUUCGAAUGUUAAUGCUUUCUUGAAGAUGAUUUCAGACACACUGCUAGGAUACUGCCUCUACUCACUGAAGCAGAAUCCUCUGAAGAGUUGCUGAGGCAGAACCAGAAUCAUGGCUCGCCACAAAGCAGCAGCCGUAUUGGCCGCUAACGAUGCCUCACACAGAAAGACGAUGUUCCUUUAACUCGGGGGUUUUAAUGGGAAGUUUCUAAGCCUGAAACAACGGCUUGAGAUCUGGGGUGUGCCAUUAGCUGCUUGCAGCUGCCACUGUCUCCUGCCUCAACCCAGCCUGGUCGGGAAGAAUGGAAACUAAAGAGGCUUGUAACUACCUGUAACUGUUCCACCGGGAAAUGGAUCAAGUGUUUGUUCAGCCAGAUUCAGGUACUUGACUGACACCGGGUCUUUGAUGGGCUAAUUAAUGCUUUUCUCUAACUUUACGAUGUAUGCAUGAGCGA